GAUGAACGCUGGCGGCGUGCCUAAUACAUGCGAGUCGAGCGAACAGAUGAGGAGCUUGCUCCUCUGACGUUAGCGGCGGACGGGUGAGUAAAACGUGGAUAACCUACCUAUAAGACUGGGAUAACUUCGGGAAACCGGAGCUAAUACCGGAUAAUAUAUUGAACCGCAGGGUUCAAUAGUGAAAGACGGUUUUGCUGUCACUUAUAGAUGGAUCCGCGCCGCAUUAGCUAGUGGGUAAGGUAACGGCUUACCAAGGCAACGAUGCGUAGCCGACCGGAGAGGGUGAGCGGCCACACUGGAACUGAGACACGGUCCAGACUCCUACGGGAGGCAGCAGUAGGGAAUCUUCCGCCAUGGGCGAAAGCCUGACGGAGCAACGCCGCGUGAGUGAUGAAGGUCUUCGGAUCGUAAAACUCUGUUAUUAGGGAAGAACAAAUGUGUAAGUAACUAUGCACGUCUUGACGGUACCUAAUCAGAAAGCCACGGCUAACUACGUG
rnacentral:rRNA from 1 species